AACUUUCGACAAUGGAUCUCUUGGCUCUCGCACCGAUGAAGAACGCAGUGAAAUGCGAAAACUAAUGCGAUUUGCAUGAACCUGUGAGUCAUCCAGUCUUUGAACGCACCUUGCGCUCUCUCUGCGAGGAGAGAGCAUGCCUGUUUGAGAAUCGAAACCACGUUGGCUCUGGGUAGAGCCAGCAUUGAGGGCUCAAAGUCUUUGUCACUUGAAAUCUCAAAGUCUUUCACUUGAAAUCUCAAAGUCUCACUUGAAAGCUCAAAGUCUUUCACUUGACCUCCCCUUGUCCCUUGAAAUGCAGCGGCCGCAGCCCGGCAUUGUGUGACAGAGACAGUCAGUCUACUCACAAUGCGCCGGCAGCGCGGCCCGUUCUCUCUUGUGAUCCCAAAUCAGGCAAGGCUACCCGCUGAACUUAAGCAUAUCAAUAAGCGGAGGCU
rnacentral:misc_RNA from 1 species